AUGGAUCCAGCCACGAUCGCCAGGACCAGCAGCAGCUUCAGCCGCAUCAGCAUCAGCGAGCCACAGAUCUACGGGCCGCGGACCCUCAGGGACGAAGGAGUUGUCAGAAAAGAGGAGAGGGACAAGCUUAGAUGGGCCCUCCUUGCCAAGAUUGAGAGCUGCUACGGGCGGGUGAAGCUCCUCCGGGGGGUCUUCGACGCCGGCUUCUGCUUCGGGCUCCUAUAUCCCAUCUCCAACAUCGUCGCCGGCGUCUCGAUCGCCGGUGCCAUGAGCGUGGAUGACCCUGACAAUGAACCCGUCCCCGCAGCAUCUUUCCCGAAGCGGAGAAAAACAGAUGUGAUCGGGGACAUGCACCAGCGGUCGCUCAACGGCCUCGUAGCCUUCCUGGCCGCCCUCUUCCCCUACCUCACUGAGCCCAAGGCUAUGUGGUACCUCAACAAAGAAGAGUUGGAUCCCCUUGUUGCCGCCCGCCUCAUCAUCCAGCACCGGGGGAUGGAGCAGAGUUUCGGGUUUAAAUCCGACACCACUGCCGCCGCCGUGGAACUGGCCCUUAGAUGUGCUGCAGCUGCCGCCCAGCACCCGUGCCCGAAGCAGUUUGCGUCAGCUUGGAAGCUGCUUUCACAUUUUCUUGGGAGUGUCGCCACCGUGCUAUCAGGCCCAUGUGUAACUUUCGAUCGUUUCCAGUCCGCUGAAAUCAUAGAUAUUCUGCUCAAGAAACAUCAGCCAUCAGAUUUCAGCCUUGAGAAAUCAUGGGAUCUUGCCUCUUGUCGUCUACUCAAGCUCAGUCCUGACCUCUUCGGGGAGGUGAUGGGAUUUCCUGAGCGGUCCACUAUGAGGCGAAUGCUGCUCGCCACCAUCCAUGGAUACUACCUGCAGGCACUAGCCCGGCUGCCCAAGGAGAAGCUGCGCUCUCAAUACCACCACAGCCUGCUCCAGGCCGGCCACUGCUAUGGUCCACUGGACCCUGUCUCCAACAUCAUCCUCAAUACAAUCUGGUACAGCCAAGCCUACCCUCUAACCAAGAAGGUUGACCUAGAGGCAAUCAGCACAGGAGGCCUUUUUCGAAUUGCAGUCAGAUCCUUCUAUGGCCUUGUCUCCUUCCUGUGCACCCGCUGCGCCACACACCUCUCGCCGGACCAAGCCAUGCAGCGACUGCAGGCGUCUGGGGCCGAUCUCCGAAUCGCUGAUCCUAACCACCUUGAUGAUGAUAACAAUGAUGAUGCUAUGGUAUCUGCCAGUGUCGAACAAGCCUAUGCUGCAGCUGCAGCUGCUGCAUUUCACCCCAAACCUCGUGACCAGGCAGAGCUUCUCCGACCGUCUAAUCCAAUGUUGCGGAUGGCCUCGCACUAUCUCAAGGAUGGCGGCAAGCUCUCCGUCAUGGACGCUGACCAUCUUGCCGAAUGUUUGUUCUAUUCCAUCAGCGAGUUGGAACAAACUGAGCACGCAGAAACAAACAUCGAGGCGGUAAACAAGUUGACCUACGGAAGGAUGGAUCGACUCAUAAAUGACUUCUGGAAUGAGCAUGCUGCAGUCGUUGGAAUGGUGAAAUCUUUAAUUGACGUAUACAGCCGGCAACCUGGGGUACCCAAGUACGAGUUGCAUCUUAUCUGCGGUGUCAAUAAGUAUGUUGAUGGCCCUGUGUACACGGGUCCUUUCACUCGCAUAUAUCAUUACUCCCACAUCAACUUCCUCGCUACCAAAUCUGCCGGUGCACCACCAACGCUAUUCUUUGCUGAAUGCCGCAAUGAUGGCACUCAGACUCAGGAGAUGGGCUGGUGCUGCCCUGUCGACGUACCAUCUCCAGGCACUGGAAUGCGAACAAGUCCGUUGCCUGUACUGUGA
rnacentral:rRNA from 1 species